CAGUGAUCAAGUACAGACGGAUGCAUGACCAGCACCGUCAGUGCAUUGACGUGUGGACGAUUAUAAACUGAGGGUAAAAUUCAAUAUUUCCUGACAAGCAAAAUCUCACCAGAUACACCGGUGGACUGCUCGAGAUCAAUACUCCACGUGUGUGAACGAUGGCGAUUAGCUACACGUUGUAGUUCUAUGUGAUCGCAUGCCCCAGUUGGCUCUGGUGAAGGUCACUUAAAGCUCGGGGAGAGCAAUCUAUUGUGUCUGUGGACUCGCUACUCAGGUAUCGCAUAACACGCACGAUCGUACGGACACUUUUGAUACCACAAGGCCUUCUACCACGGAAUAGAAGGCCUUUUUUCUGUUUUCCAUAAUCUCCGAUCUCCAGCAUCGUUGGACGGUCAAGACUGUAACACAUCAGCACGUCUCACGACGGCAACGUCAUUGGAAACCACCACGCGGGACUCGCUCGAGAGACGGUCACCGGCCGCUUCAAUCCAACCAGUGCAGAAAGAGUGCAAGUAUUACGAGAAGCAGAGCGGGGAGCAAGGGAGGAAGCUCAUCGGCGAUCGCCGUCCGUCAGCCGGAUAGGGUGAAGACACCGAGCCGAGCAGCAUCCACAAUAGCCAGAGUGACGACGGCGGCGUGACCUGUCGUUCCAUGCAAGCAAGCGGACAGCGUAGGCUAAGUCAAAAUAGAUGGGCCCAUCGUAAGUUUUGAGACAAUUGUGCAUGUAUAGACACCUCUAGAAAUAGAAACAUUAGCAUGCUACUAUCGGUGAAUAAUUAGGCUAGGAAAAUCGUUGAUUCAAUCAAUAAAUGUAAAAUCUGUAAGGGUGAUCGAGUGUUAGUAUUUUGUUGUGGCGAGCUACGUGGCUUGGCGACUCAUGAGCUGUUUUAAUUGAGCUAGUCGACCAAAAU